rfam:Felis catus isolate Cinnamon breed Abyssinian chromosome D2, whole genome shotgun sequence.
GCCUGGGUGGCUCAGUCGGUUGAGCGUCUGACUUCGGCUCAGGUCAUGAACUCGUAGUUUGUGAGUUGGAGCCCCGCGUCAGGCU